GAAAACCCCAGAAGCUGAAACAGCUCGAAUUAUCCAACACAAUAAACCUUUCUCCAUAACUAAUGGUAUACUCAAACGCCAGAAUCAUCAUCCUCUGCCUCUGCCUGUCGUUGUAGUUUACAAAGAAUGUCUAAAAAAUCAUGCUGCCACUAUGGGCGCCCACGCCGUAGAUGGCUGCGGAGAAUUUAUGCCAUCCCCUACCGCCACUGCUACUAACCCCACCUCCCUAAAAUGCGCCGCAUGUGGCUGUCACCGGAAUUUUCACCGCCGUGAGCCAGAGGAGCUAUUUCCACCUCCCAACACCGCCGCAGCUCUGCAGUACCAAUCUCAUCACCGACACCACCCUCCGCCUCCGCUGCCGAAUCGUGGAAGUGGGGACCACAGCUGCC
rnacentral:lncRNA from 1 species